UGCCAGCAGCCGCGGUAAUACGGAGGGUGCAAGCGUUGUUCGGAAUCACUGGGCUUAAAGCGCGUGUAGGCGGUCGGUCAAGUACUUUGUGAAAGCCCCGGGCUUAACCUGGGAAAUGCUUGGUAUACUGAUCGACUUGAGUCAGAUAGGGGUGCCUGGAACAAUAGGUGGAGCGGUGAAAUGCGUAGAUAUCUAUUGGAACGCCUGAGGCGAAAGCGGGGCACUGGGUCCGUACUGACGCUGAGACGCGAAAGCGUAGGUAGCGAACGGGAUUAGAUA
rnacentral:rRNA from 1 species